GGCCUCAUUCUUACCACAGGCUGUGUUCUUUACACUGACUGUAUAGAAAGAUAUAUAGAUAUAUAUAAAUGCACCCCAUAUACACCUCAACACAGGCCCUUUGCCUGGUCUGUAUUGUGAAUGGGGGGACCAAA